AAACGGUUAAAAGAGGGAAAGCAGGAAUUGAAAGUGGAAUUUAGCCCCCCACCGGAAGAUGUGCUUACACCGGAAGAGGCAGAGCGUGUGGUCAAACGGCGCGGCGCGUGCAGAACAGAAUGGCCGCGUGUCGCUUCCGGGACAAACAAAAAGACCGAGCCCAAACUUUGCAGAAGGAGUGUCAUCGACUAGAAAGCAUUCAGACAGAGUUGAGGUACGAACUGGCGCAGGUACGAAAGGAAAGGGACGAAUACCGCCAUGCGUUUGAUCAACACAAGGCCGUCUGCCCGCUACAGUUUCCCGCGCUUUUCAUCGCGUCAAAUUCGAACUCUUGACAACAUGUGAACACUGAA